AACAUAUGUUGUGUUAUCGGUAAUCGAUAGUCCUAGAUCUCAAAAUGUAAAUUUCUUCUGUCUUAAAAUGUUUUAGCAGCGAUUUAACUAAAUAUUCCAAAGGUAAUGCAGCUGUGCCGGGUUUGCCUAAGCAGUUCCGAAAACAAGUUAAACAUUUUCGAAGGAGCUGGAGCGCAAGAACUGGGACUUUCUAUCUCCACGGCGUAUAUGAUAUCCGAGGUCACUGGCUUUAAAAUCGAAAAAGGACUCACUCCGGAAUGCAUUUGUCCAUCUUGUCUAGAAGAUGCUCAAAGUGCAUGCAAGAUCAUCAAGACAUAAGAGUGCAGCUACAAUAUCUUCUGUCGAGACCGGAAAUCGGAUUCUUCGAGAGAAACCUUCCUGGAAAAGGUGCAGAAGGAACCCAUUAAAUCAGAAGCUAUUGGCACGAAAGAUUCGUAUGAUGAUAGAGUAAAGACUGAACCCAUCGAAGAAGGUGCUUUUGAAGAGCAAGAAACACGGAAAUAGCAAUAAAGAGAAUUAUGAUGCUGUUUA